GGCUUUGUCUUGCUUCAGGAGUUUUGAUGUGCAGUGAUAACACACAGCUGAAAAAAGCAAGCGUUGCGUGGAAGGCUCUAACUGAGCUGCUGCCCAGCUCAAACCCCUGAAAGGUGCCAGGCCUGGGCUCUCACUGGGUAAGUGUGGCUACUUGCCUGUGUUUGGGUUUCUGUAGCCAUGUGGCCAGGGCUUCCUAGCUGCUCUGCCCACAGACAGCCCUGUCCGCUCUCCGUGCAUUGCAAUGUCCAGUCCCCAUGUGGUUCCCAGCAGCAAUGCCUUGCUGAUUCCUCUUUGCUGGGCUGACACUAGAUGGCAAUGCCUCCCUCGUAAUACCUCACCACGGCAAAGCAGUUCCGGGGUUUUGUUUUUGAUGGGCUUUCUAUCACAGAUAGUAGUCUUUUUCUGUACAGAUUGCACCACUGACUUCCCUGCAUUGGAAUCUGAUGCCAUUUUCCAACGUGAAGCAGAGGAUUGUGUUUCAUGACAGACAGGAUAAGAUGGGAGACCUGAAGGCAGAUGUGUGGCGGAGUUCUCCAGCAUGAGGCUGCUGUGCCUCUCGGAGUUCCCUCAGCCUUCUGACGUGGGAUGUUUUGGCACUCGUCUGCUGGCUUUUGGGCACUGGGUUGAGCGAGCGUGGCAUCCACUUGGAGUGGAUUUGCAAAUGGAAACUUGGCACAGCCACCUAAGUGGGAAACCAAGUGAAGACACAACACCCCGCUCCCCAAACCUGUAUGGACAAAACCCAUCACAAAAGGCACCAUCCAAGACGUAAACGUUUAAAUGCGGGAAGCUGAACCCAGGUGUUGCUGUCCCGGAGCAUUUGCUACUACCAGUGACCGACAGCUCCAGUUUGGAUCCGACCACCACUGAGGGUUGAUUGAUGGGGAGAUUUCCCCCUCAAAGGCUGGGCACAAGUGUGCACCCAAGUCUGGCCAGGCACACAGCCCCCGCCCCCCCUCCUGCAGCCAGCAGCAGGGUCUGAUAUGCUCGAGUUGUUCUUUGUCCUGGCCUUGUGCAGGGUCCCCUGCUAAAGGGUGUUUGUCUGGUGAGGAUGUUACCAACAUGUACGUUCUUGCUUAGGAAAUGAAAGUUUGGCCGCUGUUUUUCUGGCCAGGCAAAGCUUCUCGCUGGCUUUUGUGAGAAGUGAGGCCGGGUCUCCAUCCACCUCUGUCUGAAAGGCAAUUUGCUGCAUUAGGUAAACCCCAAAGCCCUGGGAGGACUCGGAGUGAGGAUUUGCUGUGCUGAGAAGCAGGAG
ensembl:lncRNA